rnacentral:rRNA from 1 species
AUACGGAGGAUGCAAGCGUUAUCCGGAUUUAUUGGGUUUAAAGGGUGCGUAGGCGGGACUGUAAGUCAGGGGUGAAAUACUGCAGCUUAACUGUAGCAUUGCCUUUGAAACUGCCGUUCUUGAGUACAGUUGAGGGAGGCGGAAUGUGGGGUGUAGCGGUGAAAUGCAUAGAUAUACCACAGAACGCCGAUUGCGAAGGCAGCUUACUAAGCUGUUACUGACGCUGAGGCACGAAAGCGUGGGGAUCAAACAGGAUUAGAUACCCUGGUAGUCCACGCUGUAAACGAUGAUUACUGGUUGUUAGCGAUAUAUAGCUAGUGACUGAGCGAAAGCAUUAAGUAAUCCACCUGGGGAGUACGUCGGCAACGAUGAAACUCAAAUGAAUUGACGGGG